UACGAGGGGGGCGAGCGUUGUUCGGAAUUAUUGGGCGUAAAGGGCUCGUAGGCGGCCAACUAAGUCGGAUGUGAAAUCCCCAGGCUCAACCUGGGAACUGCAUCCGAUACUGGUUGGCUUGAAUCCGGGGAGAGGGAUGCGGAAUUCCAGGUGUAGCGGUGAAAUGCGUAGAUAUCUGGAGGAACACCGGUGGCGAAGGCGGCAUCCUGGACCGGUAUUGACGCUGAGGCGCGAAAGCUAGGGGAGCAAACGGG
rnacentral:rRNA from 1 species